rnacentral:tRNA from 2 species
CACUAAGAAGCUACUUAGCAUUAGCCUUUUAAGCUAGAGAUGGGUGGAUUACUCCUCCCUUAGUGA